rnacentral:RNase_P_RNA from 1 species
AGGAGGGGAUAGGCGACUCCCGGGCCUCAAGCCUGAGGAAAGUCCCCCCACCUCCAGGAACCGCGGUCCCCAAAGGGACAGGCCGAGAGGUCUUGGACCGAGAGCAGAAACGACACGCCCCUAGGGGGAUGUCCGUGAUGGGGAGAAGGUCCUCGCGAGAGGGCCGAGUUAACCCUCGGAGAAUCCCUAGGGAUACGGUGAAACGGCUCGGUCCCGCGGGGUGCAAGCCCAAAUUACCGCCGAUGAUUUCCUGGAGAGGUGGGUGGUAGGGUGCUUAGCCAAAUGUCGCCUCAAAACAGAAGGGGGCUUAUGGUUCCCACCU